GUGAGGAAUAUUGCGCAAUGGAGGCAACUCUGACGCAGCCAUGCCGCGUGCAGGAAGAAGGCGCUACGCGUUGUAAACUGCUUUUAACCGGGAAGAAACCCCAGGACGUGUCCUGGGUUGACGGUACCGGAGGAAUAAGCACCGGCUAACUUCGUGCCAGCAGCCGCGGUAAUACGAAGGGUGCAAGCGUUAUCCGGAUUCAUUGGGUUUAAAGGGUGCGUAGGAGGAGCGUUAAGUCAGUGGUGAAAUCCUGCAGCUUAACUGUAGACUUGCCAUUGAUACUGGCGCUCUUGAGUGCGCUUGAAGUGGGCGGAAUGUGCCGUGUAGCGGUGAAAUGCUUAGAUAUGGCACAGAACACCAAUUGCGAAGGCAGCUCACUAAGGCGAUACUGACGCUGAGGCACGAAAGCGUGGGGAUCGAACAGGAUUAGAAACCCGGGUAGUCC
rnacentral:rRNA from 1 species